CUAGCCUUAUCGGUGGAUCACUCGGCUCGUGGAUCGAUGAAGAACGCAGCCAACUGCGAUAAUUAGUGUGAACUGCAGAAACCUUGAACACAGAACUUUCGAAUGCACAUUGCGCCAUUGGAGUGACAUCCAUUGGCACGCCUGGUUCAGGGUCGUAA
rnacentral:rRNA from 1 species